rnacentral:rRNA from 1 species
GAUGCAUCAUGCCGCGUGUGUGAAGAAGGCCUUAGGGUUGUAAAGCACUUUCAGCGAGGAGGAAGGGUUCAGUGUUAAUAGCACUGAGCAUUGACGUUACUCGCAGAAGAAGCACCGGCUAACUCCGUGCCAGCAGCCGCGGUAAUACGGAGGGUGCAAGCGUUAAUCGGAAUUACUGGGCGUAAAGCGCACGCAGGCGGUUUGUUAAGUCAGAUGUGAAAUCCCCGAGCUUAACUUGGGAACUGCAUUUGAAGACUGGCAAGCUANAGUCUUGUAAGGGGGGUAGAAUUCCAGGUGUAGCGGUGAAAUGCGUAAGAUCUGGAGGAAUACCGGUGG